GAUGAACGCUGGCGGCGUGCCUAAUACAUGCAAGUCGAGCGAACAGACGCGGAGUUUGCUCCUCUGACGUUUGCGGCGGACGGGUGUGUAACGCGAGUAUCCCGUACCUAUCAGACUGGGAUAACUUCGGGAAUCGGGAGCUAAUACCGGAUAAUAUCUUGCACCGUAUGGUUAAAUAGUGAAAUACGGUUUUGCUGUCACUUAUAGAUGGAUCCGCGCUGCAUUAGCUAGUUGGUAAGGUAACGGCUUACCUCGGCAACGAUGCGUAGCCGACCUGCGAGGGUGAUCGGCCACACGGGAACGUGAACGCGCUCCAUGGUCCUACGAGAGGGAGCAGAAUGGAACCUGCCGCAACGGUGGAAAACCUGGCAGAACAGCGCCACGUCAGUGAUGAAGAUCUUCGGAGCGUAAUGCCCGGUUACGGGGGAAGAACAAAUGUGGAAGGAAAUAUGCACGUCUUGACGGUAACGAAUCAGAAAGCCACGGCUAACUACGUG
rnacentral:rRNA from 1 species